rfam:Gorilla gorilla gorilla genomic chromosome, chr5, whole genome shotgun sequence
GCUGGGCAUGGUGGCGCAUGCCUGUAAUCCCAGCUACUCGGGAGGCUGAGGCAGGAGAAUCGCUUGAAUCCGGGAGGUGGAGUGAGCCGAGAUCGCCCACUGCACUCCAGCUUGGAUGACAAAGUGAGAUUCUGUCUCAA